rnacentral:piRNA from 1 species
UUAAAUGUUGGAUGAAUGAAUGAAUGUAU